UUGGUCAUCUCCUCAGCGUUGG
rnacentral:misc_RNA from 1 species